GGAUUGGGAUAUUCCGACUCCUUAAGGGCCUGGCGCACAUAAGGUGUGACCUUUUCAUUCCCGUUGUUAUGGAGGUAGGCUCUCUAGGAAUCUGGGAGUAGUAGCUGGGGGGCAAGAGCAAAUAAAGAGCUCGAGCUUCUGUGGUCUCUGGGGAGAUGUUCCCGGGAAGCCUGUCUAGAGGGCGGAGGGCAGCUGUUGAGAUGGCGUGGCUCCCCGGCUCCUGCGCCCGCGUGGCUUUCGCGGCGGGCGCUGCGGCCCGGUAUUGGACAGCCUGGCAGGGCAGCGCGGGGCCGAAUCCGGCUGCCGUGGCUGAGGCUCAUGGAUCACUCUUUUGUGGUAGGGCCACAUCUGCCAGAGCCUGGAGUCUGCGAAGGCCGGGACCCGGUUCCCCGGCCCACAGUGGGGGUGUGCAAACCCGAGAGAACUGGGAAGUGCCGUCAGAAGCGAUAACUGACGACGUCUAAUGUCUAUCUGACCGCAGUCGCUGAAACCUCUACAACUUAGUUGACCGUAACUGCCAGAGCCCUGCCCUGAAUUCCUGUCCUUACUCCCUCUUUAAGAUUGCGUACCCACUGCAGAGUGCUGAAGACGGGGUAGCCACGAGGUUGCAAAUUCGUGAAGAAUCAGCAUCAUGUUUGGCAGCUGAGUAUUGGAGCCAGGAGCCUGCCAUGAGGUUAUAUUCCCAGAGGAUGUCAGUCCCAAGGACCAGUAGCUGCCAUCAGUUUGGAUUCUGAAAACUAACUGGCAUCAACACUGGGUGUAGAAACAUGCUUGCCUUAUGUAUCAGAGGACAUGCUCAGCAGAUCCAAGAGAUAUAUUUGGCAACUUUUUCUAGAAAAGGCACAUUGGGUAUCAUUCAUUACAUUCUUGAGUUUUUUUGGGUUUUUUUUUUUUUUUUUGAGACAGUCUUGCUGUAUUGCCCAGGCUGGAGUGUGGUGGCACAAUCACAGCUCAUUGCAUCCUCAAUCACCCAGGCCUAAGCAAUCCUCCCACCUUGUAGCUGGGACUACAGCUCACAGCACACCUGGCUAAAAUUUUUUUUUUGUUGAGACGGAUUCUCUAUGUUGCCCAGGCUGGUCUCAGGCUCCUGGGCUCAGAUGGUCCUCCUGCCUCAGCUUCCAAAGGCACAGGCCAAGUUGUAGCUUUGUCCCUUGCCAUCAUGCCCAACAAGAGGUUCUAUACCUUUUAAUGAAUUGACUUUCAUAAAUUGGUUAUGUUGGUGGGCAAAGUUCUUUAAGCUGGAAAUUGUAAAUUCCUCCUGAAAUGUUUUUUCAUGCAGUUACCAUGAACUAAUACUACAAUAAAGGAUGGUCUUGGGUGUCAAUUCUUGAAAA
rnacentral:lncRNA from 1 species